UCUGGGAUGGUCUAGGUUUACUUUGCCCUGCCCUGCCUCAGUGCAGUGGUAGAGGUCCUUUCCAGCCCUACAUUGUUAUGAGUCAAAAGUAAAGAAAUAGGACUGGAAACCAAUGUCCAAGUAAUUAUUUGUUCCCUUCUUUUGCAGAGACCUGAACAUCAAGCAAAGAUGCUUCAAGUUGGAACUAUCCUUUGUUUCCAAGGACUGCAUCCGAUGAAGUGAGCUGUAGCUCACGAAAGCUUAUGCUCAAAUAAAUUGCACAGGAACUGUCUCUGCCUGGAUUCAGUUGAGUUCUGAAAUUUUCUCUCGCAGAUUUGGGAGUUUUCAAAAAGUUAAGUUUGUUUGCUUCAAAGUGUGUAAUAAAGACCACCAUGACCAUAGAAGUUUAGAUUAGUGCCCCAUUAGCCUACAUCAGGCCAAACCACUACCUCCAAAAUUGCUAGAUGCCAUUUUCUGUGGGGCAGGCCAACUUCUGGGCACAGAACACAGAAACUUACUUUGAUUAGCCCCCCCCCGGUUAUCUUUUCAAUAUGGCAUUACCAGUUGGAUCCAUCCUGAUCUGUUGACGUUAUUUGGCUGAUAAGUGUUCCCAGUGCCAAUGUAAGGUAAGCCCAUCUUGUUUGGCUCAUGCCCCAUUCACUACCUGUAAUUACUGCUGUUGGGAAGGAUGGAUGAAGAGGGAUGUAUCACAAUGGAAGAUUACUCAUUGGUAAUGAUUGUCUCAUAGUCCUCAUCCAUCCUCCACUUCAGGCUUGUGGCUUGACAUUUGUUCUCUUAUCUAUUAUUCUGUAUUUGAAUGGACAGAUCAGUGUUUAUAUGGUAAACGUUUAUUUGCCUCUUUGCUUCUGAUCAAUGAAGCCACACUGCUGGAAGAAGAGAGGACUCUGGCAAACAAAAUUAUUGGUGAGUAAUUUUCCCUUAGUAAUCUUUGGGUAUAUUUUGAAGUGCUUUGAUAGGGUAGACACUAAUUUUUGUAAUAGGAUGUGAUCCUUUUCAAAAUUUGACUUUUGUUUCCAUAUGAUAUUUGGCAUUAUCCUUUCUAUUGUUUGCUAUAUUCUGUAGUUAUCAACAGCUUAACCUCCAGUAGGUGUUUGUAAUUUUUUUCUGCAUUUCUACUUCAUAAAGAGCCAUCAUUUUGCCAUGACUAUGGAAAAGAUAGAAAUGUUGAACUUUCUACCUAUACAAAUUUACAUUCAAAAGCACUAAGCAUAACUUAUGGGGAUAAUAUUAGUGUAUGAUCUCAUCUAUAAACCUCCAUACCCAGUUUAUUUGAACAUACUGAUGUUCACACAGCAGCAGUGUAUUGAGAACCUUUCUAGCUAGGACAAUGAGGGUGUAGCUGUGGCCUACUUCAGUAAAUUAAAUACAGCUUUGUUCUUGUAAUUCUCAUUGGGGAUGGACAUAACCUUCCUGAGGACCAAAGAGCAACCACUGUGGAGCAGAUCAGCAGCAGAGGCGAAUGACCAUAGCAGGUUGUUGACCAUAUUUGCUGUGGAUCUGUGUGGAACAACCAGUAUAUGUAUAUGGACAGGGAUGGUGUCCCUAGCCUCCCUUGCCAGAAGCUGGGAAUGAGUGACAGGGGACAGAUUAUUUGAUGAUUACCUGUUCAUCCCCUCUGGGGCAUCUGGCAUUGGCCACUGUCAGAAGACAGGAUACUGGGCUAGAUGGACCUUUGGUCUGACCCAGUAUGGCCAUUCUUAUGUACUAUAGCAUCCAUGUGCUCUGACAGAGCCAAUUUCCAGUAUGGUGCACAAUAAAAAAAGACAGGCAGAAAGAAUAUCUUUCUCCCAUCUCCAGCAAACUUUGGGUCUAAGCACUCACUCAGACUUCAAAGGGCUUCCUUACAUAAUGCCUGGACCGGUACUUGGUUUGGAAAUGAUGUCCUAAAUGGAAAUUAUCGGUCUACGUGGAAGUGAUUUUAAGGUCAGGCUUGACAAAGCCCUGGCUGGGAUUAUUUAGUUGGGGAUUGGUCCUGCUUUGAGCAGGGGGUUGGACUGGAUGACCUCCUGAGGUCCCUUCCAACCCUGAUAUUCUAUGAUGGGAGAGAGAUGCUUUUGCACUAUGAGCGGGGCUUGAGAUAAGUUCCCAGGUCCCAUUGCCUUUCUGACGUGCUUUUAAACGUUACACUUGUUCUUCCUCCAACAUGGCUGGGAUGGGUUCUGUUUGCUACUUCAAGGGAGAAGACGUUGAAUAGUUGUCAACUUUCCCUUUAUCCUUCUACCUCUCUGCAUGACUUAUACCAUUCCAAUGCCAUCAUCCUCUAUAGUCACAACCAGUAGAUGAAAGGUGACUUAGUUCAGAUCCUUGCAUUAGCAGUGACCCUGGAAGUGUGCUUCACAGCACAUUUAGCAAGAGCCAUGGCUAAAUACCAGCAACUCAUAAAACAUCUACCUCUGUGAUUGGAUGUGUAACAUAUGAACAUUAAACACUUCACACAAAAGGGAACAAAACUCUUCCCUACCCUGUUCACACACCCAAAUAUGACAGUAUAGCCACCUUGUUUGCAUUAAAUACCUGAAUUAGACUCCUAGAAUAUUACUUUACCAAUCCAGGAAUUCAAGCCCUUGUUGCAGAAUCUUGAAAGAAUUUACAAGACCAAACCCAUUCCAUCUCUGCAUGUUUAUCUUAACUUUUAUGACAGAGUUGGCGCUAUGCUAUAACGAAAACAAAGGAACAGUCAGCGGGACUUAUGUGAACAAUCAAGAGUUCAUAAGUACUAGGUUAGCCCUUGAAUACCAGUGAUGAAGAACUGACUGAGUGGGAGGGAAAGAGCUCUAUUUUAUUUUAAUGUGACUGGCUGGCUGAUGUAACUGGUAAUAGUUUUAUUGGAAAGUUAGCCUCUAUCAGAUCUUUCAUACAGCUGAAAGAUGAAGCAGCCAGCCAUUCAUCUCCAACAUCCACAGGGAGAGGAUGGCCUGUCACAUUUUUCCAUAUGAAUACAGCUUACCCAAACUGAACAAUCCACCUAUAAGAUGAUGUGCAACUAGAGCAUGGAUUAGUAGUAGUCUAUUGAAAAAAGCCUAGAAAAGUUUUUUCGACAAGUUAGCUAUAUCGUUCCUCCAGAAAGAUGUGCCAUUGCUGUUUUUAAUGGAAUGGUGGCAGGAAAGUCAAAAACUUAGUUACCAUAGCUAUAGUAGUCUAGGGCUUCAUCAGGUCCUAUCUGCAAUGUACGUGCUUUUUUCUGACCUUGGUUUCACCUCAUUACACUGACUUAUCUUACUUGAACAAGAAAUGUGAUGUCAAAAAAAGGCUUACAAAGUUACCUUGAACUUCAUUCCCCCUUUUUACAUGGUGCACUGCCUCCCAGUCCAUCUCAGAUUGAGGAAGAAGUGUUACCAGAAAUCAGAUGAAAACUGUUUUCAGGGAAACAUGCAUUUAUUGUUAAGCAUUCCCAGUGAAAAUCAACAUCUUUUAAAAUGUGUAUUUAUUUUAAAAAAUCAUUUGUGUACAAAAGUGUUGUGUAGUUUUUAUUCUCAAGACAAAAAACACCGAUGCUUCAUUCCAGCCCACUCACCCUUUACAGGAAAUUAAAUGCUCAGUAACAAACCUUCUCCAGUAUUCUUUAUUGUUAACUUUUAAAAAAAUCAAAAUUUGAGAUGGAAAAGGUAUCUCACAAGUGGGAUUCUUCAACAGUUGAAAUCAGCAUUCCUAUGAUAGCAGCAUCCUUCAGCACGAGCAGUUGUUGCAAAUUGUAAAACGGAUAAUACAGCACUUUCAUAGUACAUUUCCUCAUCUCAGAGUUAGGUAUUUCAACUUACGUUUUCAGUGAAUGGUUCAGCCUCAUAAGCAAUUGGCUAGCUAUUUUUUAUGCUGCCCACAAGCAGGUAACAUCACAGUACAGUGCAAAUUAUUUGCAACAAUUGGUCCAUGGGUAACAAAUCUGAAAAGUAAACUUGCUGAGGUUGCCUACAGAGCAUUAUAGUUGAAAUAACCAAAUGAGAAGCAACACAUACCUUGCAUGUCUAAUGAUGUAUCAGCUAAUGAAGCUGUAACGGUAAAAGUGGGAAGGUCAUAGUAUAUGUUUUUACUGAAAUAUGUUUAAUAUGGAUCAGCAGUCUAAUUGAAGACAAAUGAUAAACGCUUUUCUGUCACCAAAGCAACAUUUGGAAAAUUAGGCUAUUAACAGUGAAAACAUCUACAUGCUCUUCCCAGAAAAGCUUUACUUCAUGUUUUACUAUUGUGAUGUAGUAAAAAGCAUGGGAAAAUGAACAUUUUUAACUGUCCUCUGCUUAGCCAAUUGCUGUCACAUGUUCUACAAAACAAUCCAUGAUCACAUCCACUAAGAGUCUUUGGUUUCUCUACACAAACAUUUAGUUCUCAGCAAGCUGAGGUAUAAAUCUAUCCUGUACUAACAGUUCCUUACAGUACUUGGAGCUAUGCUGCUUUGAAACUGGAGUAGCUCAAAGCACAGUAAGGAACUGUUAGUACAGAAUAGGUUUAUACCCCAGCUUGCUGAGAACUAAGCACAGUAAGGAACUAUUAGUAC